rnacentral:misc_RNA from 1 species
GAAAUUUUUUCCAUUAGCCAAAGAAGAGAUUUUUAAUUUUAUGAAUUUCAAAUUUUAAAUUUAAAAUCCAAAUUUUAAAUCUAAAUCCAUGUAUCCAAACACAAUCCAAAUGAAUUAGGAUUUUCACUAGCAACCAGAAAAACAGGGAUAAAGAAUUGCCUGUGUGUGUGCGUGUGUUAUAAGACACAGCAUAACCACAGAAUACCAGGCAGAAAAUAGACAAAUAGCACUAUUAGCUAGAACUGAUGGCUGAAAUUGCUUCAGUGGUCUAUGAUGUGUCUUCUAUUCUACACAAUCCCCCUUCAACAUCAGAGAGUUCUUUAAACAGUAGACAUGAAAGCUAUCAAACAUCGUCUAGCCUAUGCAAAUGCCUAGCAACAAAUGCAUCAGACUAUCAGUAAAAAGAGGUAAGCAAAAGAAGCUAAAAAAAUUUUCAAAUAUUGGAAAGCAAUGAUAGAUAGAUCUCAGUCUAACUUAGCCUUCACU